AUUGAACGCUGGCGGCAUGCUUUACACAUGCAAGUCGAACGGUAACAGGCCGCAAGGUGCUGACGAGUGGCGAACGGGUGAGUAAUGCAUCGGAACGUGCCCAGUCGUGGGGGAUAACGCAGCGAAAGCUGCGCUAAUACCGCAUACGAUCUAUGGAUGAAAGCGGGGGACCGAAAGGCCUCGCGCGAUUGGAGCGGCCGAUGUCAGAUUAGGUAGUUGGUGGGGUAAAGGCCCACCAAGCCAACGAUCUGUAGCUGGUCUGAGAGGACGACCAGCCACACUGGGACUGAGACAAGGCCCAGACUCCGACGGGAGGCAGCAGUGGGGAAUUUUGGACAAUGGAUGCAAGCCUGAUCCAGCAAUGCCGCGUGCAGGAAGAAGGCCUUCGGGUUGUAAACUGCUUUUGUACGGAACGAAACGGUCCGGGUUAAUACCCUGGGCUAAUGACGGUACCGUAAGAAUAAGCACCGGCUAACUACGUGCCAGCCGCCGCGGUAAAAC
rnacentral:rRNA from 1 species